UAAAAGUGCCUAUCUAACGGCAAUUCUUGGUUUAACAGAAUAUGCUUUACAAAUAAAAGAAUAUUCUGUUAAAUUUAACCCCAAAAACAAUCGUCCACCAUUUUUUGAAUCGUGACUGUCAAAUCUACAUAUUCUCUCUUUGAAAACUCUCUCUCUGAAAACUCUUUUGUUUCUCUUAAAAUUCUCACAAUCCAAAAUCCCAGACAUCGGUCUGGCUUUGAUCCGGGGAUUAAAUUGAAUCGUCGAUCCUUUUCUACAGUUCCUCGGGAAAAGCCUUCGCCUCUUUCUCUUUUUGCGUUUGGAUUUUGGUGUGAUUGAAUAGUGGUUUGUGUUUGACAACCAAGAAAACAGGUGAAGCGGGAUUCUGUAAAAACGACGACGGCGACGACGGAUCUGUUGGUGGAGAGUCGGAGUAGCUCUGACUGUCUGGGAAAACUAUGGCACCCCCCUCAACACCUACUCGAAUAGGCCUUGUUGGUUUGGCUGUCAUGGGCCAGAAUUUGGCACUCAACAUUGCAGAAAAAGGAUUUCCAAUUUCUGUUUAUAACAGAACUACCUCCAAAGUUGAUGAGACUGUUGAAAGAGCAAAACUAGAAGGUGACCUUCCUGUGUACGAGUUCCAUGACCCCGAAUCUUUCGUUAACUCAAUUCAAAAGCCACGAGUCAUUAUCAUGCUUGUCAAGGCUGGGGCACCUGUUGACCAGACUAUAAAGACCCUCUCUGCUUAUGCAUAUUUUGUAACAGUGAAGCAUUCGCAUUUUCAUCUUUCAAGUUUUUAAGGAAAUAGCAUCACAAAAUAAUUAAAUUUUAAUGGCAGGGUAUCAUUUGCAGAUUCACAACAAGAUUAUGAUUCAUCUGUACUGUUGAACGACCAUUUUGAUAGCCCACUUGGUUCUCCAGGCACCAGUGAUGUGUUGCAUCAAUACUGGAAUUGUUGAAACUUAUUACGGACUCUGGUUGAGUACCUCCUCAGCCUAUUAUAUUUCUUUUUAAUGGUGCUGAGGAACCUUUUAUGCUGGUAAGAUGUUUUAUUGGAUCAAUUCCACAACUGAAACUAUGACUCACCCUUAUAAGUUGUAACUUUAUGCUCAUUGUACAUAUCAUAAUGUCUGAUGGUAAUUAUGAUGAUUUCUCACAUGGUUUUAUGAUGACUCAUAAGUGGCGUGAGACCAUUGACGCUUUUAUAAAUGUGGAAGCAUUUGGGAUAGGCGGACCAGAUUUAGUUUGUCAAUCUGGGAUGACUGCUUCUCGUGUCAACUUAAAAGUUGUGUCUGGUGGAGAGCAUGUUGAUGUGAAUAUAGGAGCAAAAGUGACACCAAAAGUGCAGUCACUUAUUCUAAAUUCUUAUAAGUUAUCAGCAUAUUAAUGAUUUCUGUGCUAUCAUUUUUGUGGAGCGUGUCGUCUCUCCUCAUUUUUUAAUGCUUAAUGUUUAUGUAUUUCUUAGUGUUAAUGUAUGUUCAACUACUUCUAAUGUUGACUUGAGCCUUUGGGUAAACUUAUUUACUAGGUAAUUUUAGUAAAGCCAAUAUUGCAAAGCUUCCACUUGGUAAUUACUAAA